rnacentral:misc_RNA from 1 species
UUUCCGUAGGUGAACCUGCGGAAGGAUCAUUAUCAAAACAGCGGACUUCGGUCCUUGCUGCACCCUUGUCUUUUGCGUACCGUAUGUUUCCUCGGCGGGCUCGCCCGCCAACGGGGACCACAAAGAAACCUCUUGCAGUUGCAGUAAACGUCAUAAAUCAAAACAAAAAUCAAAACUUUCAACAACGGAUCUCUUGGUUCUGGCAUCGAUGAAGAACGCAGC